GACGAACCGUGCGAACGUUGUUCGGAAUCACUGGGCUUAAAGGGAGCGUAGGCGGGCUAUCAAGUCUGGGGUGAAAUCCCACGGCUCAACCGUGGAACUGCCUCAGAUACUGACGGCCUCGAGGAAGGUAGGGGCGUGCGGAACUUCCGGUGGAGCGGUGAAAUGCGUAGAUAUCGGAAGGAACACCGGUGGCGAAAGCGGCGCGCUGGACCUCUUCUGACGCUGAGGCGCGAAAGCGUGGGUAGCAAACAGG
rnacentral:rRNA from 1 species